CCUACGGGCGGCAGCAGUGAGGAAUAUUGGUCAAUGGGCGCAAGCCUGAACCAGCCAAGUCGCGUGAGGGAUGAAGGUCCUAUGGAUUGUAAACCUCUUUUGUCGGGGAGCAAGGCCCGCCACGUGUGGCGGGAAGGAGAGAACCCGAAGAAAAAGCAUCGGCUAACUCCGUGCCAGCAGCCGCGGUAAUACGGAGGAUGCGAGCGUUAUCCGGAUUGCUUGGGUUGACGGGGGGCGGAGGGGGAAGGUUAAGUCAGCGGUCAAAUGUCGGGGCUCAACACCGGCCUGCCGUUGAAACUGGUCUUCUUGAGUGAGCGAGAAGUAUGCGGAAUGCGUGGUGUAGCGGUGAAAUGCAUAGAUCUCACGCAGAACUCCGAUUGCGACGGCAGCAUACCGGCGCUCAACUGACGCUGAGGCACGAAAGCGUGGGGAUCGAACAGGAUUAGAUACCCUUGUAGUC
rnacentral:rRNA from 1 species